AAUGUAAACAUUCAACACCAACAGAGAAUCGUUUAAAUGCCAAAGCCUACCUGAGUCUUGAUGCUGACCACGUCCAUCCCUUUAUGACCACAGUUUACCCAUCAUCUAAUGAGUACUUCCAGCAUGAUAACAUGUCCACAGCUCAAAUCAUCUCAAACUAGUUUCUUGGGGAAUGAGUUCACUGUACUCAAAUGGCCUCCACAGUCACCAGAUC